rnacentral:rRNA from 1 species
GACGUAGGGGGCCAGCGUUGCUCGGAAUAACUGGGCGUAAAGGGUCUGUAGGCGGUGCGGCAAGUCGGGAGUGAAAUUUCUGGGCUUAACCCAGGGACUGCUUCCGAAACUGCCGUGCUCGAGUGCGAGAGAGGUGAGUGGAAUUGCAGGUGUAGCGGUGAAAUGCGUAGAUAUCUGCAGGAACACCCGUGGCGAAGGCGGCUCACUGGAUCGCAACUGACGCUGAGAGACGAAAGCUAGGGGAGCAAACAGG